rnacentral:rRNA from 1 species
UACGGAAGGCAGCAGGGGGAAUAUUGCACAAUGGGCGAAAGCCUGAUGCAGCUAUGCCGCGUGUAUGAAGAAGGCCUUAGGGUUGUAAAGUACUUUCAUCGGGGAGGAAAAACAAAACUAAUAAUUUUAUUUCUUGACGUUACCCGAAAAAGAAGCACCGGCUAACUCCGUGCCAGCAGCCGCGGUAAUACGGAGGGUGCUAGCGUUAAUCAGAAUUACUGGGCGUAAAGAGCACGUAGGUGGUUUUUUUAAGUCAGAUGUGAAAUCCCUGGGCUUAACCUAGGAACUGCAUUUUGAAACUGAAAUACUAGAGUAUCGUAGAGGGAGGUAGAAUUCUAGGUGUAGCGGUGAAAUGCGUAGAUAUCUGGAGGAAUACCUGUGGCGAAAGCGGCCUCCUAAACGAAUACUGACACUGAGGUGCGAAAGCGUGGGGAGCAAACAGGGAUUAGAUACC